rnacentral:rRNA from 1 species
GACGAACGCUGGCGGCGUGCUUAACACAUGCAAGUCGAACGGAAAGGCCCUGCUUUUGUGGGGUGCUCGAGUGGCGAACGGGUGAGUAACACGUGAGUAACCUGCCCUUGACUUUGGGAUAACUUCAGGAAACUGGGGCUAAUACCGGAUAGGAGCUCCUGCUGCAUGGUGGGGGUUGGAAAGUUUCGGCGGUUGGGGAUGGACUCGCGGCUUAUCAGCUUGUUGGUGGGGUAGUGGCUUACCAAGGCUUUGACGGGUAGCCGGCCUGAGAGGGUGACCGGAAGAAUGGGGAGUGAGAAGCGGCCAGCACCACGAGGGGAGAGGGGAGUGGGGAAUAUAGAAAAAGGGGGGGAGGCCGGGUGCAGCACGGCGGCGGGGGGGGGGGGGGCCUGCGGGUUGAAAACCAUUUGAGCCUGGGACGAAGGGGGGGGGAGGGAAGGGGGAAAAAAAGCACCGGUAAACUACGU